rnacentral:tRNA from 2 species
AAGGCUGUAUCAUAAUGGUAAUGAAGUUUGCUCAUAACAAAUAAUAUAAGGGUUCGAUUCCCUUCGUCCUUA